UCCCAGGAUGACUGUUGCCUCAGCAUUAA
rnacentral:piRNA from 1 species